rnacentral:ncRNA from 1 species
AGUAAAAUCAUCUUGGAAUUGAGAAGGCCUGAAGUGCAUGAUGAUGCCAUGUGAUUUUUGUCCAGUGCUCUUAAAUGUCAACAUGAAGAAAUUCCUUGAAGCACAAGUAAAUGGUAGAAAUAACUAUAACUUUCUUAAGAUCAAAUGCCUAGCCAUCUGUUCAAGACUUUAUU